rnacentral:rRNA from 1 species
GACGAACGCUGGCGGCGUGCCUAAUACAUGCAAGUCGAACGAACUCUGGUAUUGAUUGGUGCUUGCAUCAUGAUUUACAUUUGAGUGAGUGGCGAACUGGUGAGUAACACGUGGGAAACCUGCCCAGAAGCGGGGGAUAACACCUGGAAACAGAUGCUAAUACCGCAUAACAACUUGGACCGCAUGGUCCGAGUUUGAAAGAUGGCUUCGGCUAUCACUUUUGGAUGGUCCCGCGGCGUAUUAGCUAGAUGGUGAGGUAACGGCUCACCAUGGCAAUGAUACGUAGCCGACCUGAGAGGGUAAUCGGCCACAUUGGGACUGAGACACGGCCCAAACUCCUACGGGAGGCAGCAGUAGGGAAUCUUCCACAAUGGACGAAAGUCAGAUGGAGCAACGCCGCGUGAGUGAAGAAGGGUUUCGGCUCGUAAAACUCUGUUGUUAAAGAAGAACAUAUCUGAGAGUAACUGUUCAGGUAUUGACGGUAUUUAACCAGAAAGCCACGGCUAACUACGUGCCAGCAGCCGCGGUAAUACGUAGGUGGCAAGCGUUGUCCGGAUUUAUUGGGCGUAAAGCGAGCGCAGGCGGUUUUUUAAGUCUGAUGUGAAAGCCUUCGGCUCAACCGAAGAAGUGCAUCGGAAACUGGGAAACUUGAGUGCAGAAGAGGACAGUGGAACUCCAUGUGUAGCGGUGAAAUGCGUAGAUAUAUGGAAGAACACCAGUGGCGAAGGCGGCUGUCUGGUCUGUAACUGACGCUGAGGCUCGAAAGUAUGGGUAGCAAACAGGAUUAGAUACCCUGGUAGUCCAUACCGUAAACGAUGAAUGCUAAGUGUUGGAGGGUUUCCGCCCUUCAGUGCUGCAGCUAACGCAUUAAGCAUUCCGCCUGGGGAGUACGGCCGCAAGGCUGAAACUCAAAGGAAUUGACGGGGGCCCGCACAAGCGGUGGAGCAUGUGGUUUAAUUCGAAGCUACGCGAAGAACCUUACCAGGUCUUGACAUACUAUGCAAAUCUAAGAGAUUAGACGUUCCCUUCGGGGACAUGGAUACAGGUGGUGCAUGGUUGUCGUCAGCUCGUGUCGUGAGAUGUUGGGUUAAGUCCCGCAACGAGCGCAACCCUUAUUAUCAGUUGCCAGCAUUAAGUUGGGCACUCUGGUGAGACUGCCGGUGACAAACCGGAGGAAGGUGGGGAUGACGUCAAAUCAUCAUGCCCCUUAUGACCUGGGCUACACACGUGCUACAAUGGAUGGUACAACGAGUUGCGAACUCGCGAGAGUAAGCUAAUCUCUUAAAGCCAUUCUCAGUUCGGAUUGUAGGCUGCAACUCGCCUACAUGAAGUCGGAAUCGCUAGUAAUCGCGGAUCAGCAUGCCGCGGUGAAUACGUCCCCGGGCCUUGUACACACCGCCCGUCACACCAUGAGAGUUUGUAACACCCAAAGUCGGUGGGGUAACCUUUUAGGAACCAGCCGCCUAAGGUGGGACAGAUGAUUAGGGUG